rnacentral:rRNA from 1 species
UUAGCUUACGGUACUCCCGCAGGCGGUACGACUUAACGCGUUAGUCUGCCGGAAGCCACGCCUCAAGGGCACAACCUCCAAGUCGACAUCGUUUACGGCGUGGACUACCAGUGGUAUCUAAUCCUGUUUGCUCCCCACGCUUUCGCACCUGAGCGUCAGUCUUUGUCCAGGGGGCCGCCUUCGCCACCGGUAUUCCUCCAGAUCUCUACGCAUUUCACCGCUACACCUGGAAUUCUACCCCCCUCUACAAGACUCUAGCCUGCCAGUUUCGAAUGCAGUUCCCAGGUUGAGCCCGGGGAUUUCACAUCCGACUUGACAGACCGCCUGCGUGCGCUUUACGCCCAGUAAUUCCGAUUAACGCUUGCACCCUCCGUAUUACCGCGGCUGCUGGCACGGAGUUAGCCGGUGCUUCUUCUGCGGGUAACGUCAAUUGCUGCGGUUAUUAACCACAACACCUUCCUCCCCGCUGAAAGUACUUUACAACCCGAAGGCCUUCUUCAUACACGCGGCAUGGCUGCAUCAGGCUUGCGCCCAUUGUGCAAUAUUCCCCACUGCUGCCUCCCGUAGGAGUCUGGAACCGUGUCUCAGUUCCAGUGUGGCUGGUCAUCCUCUCAGACCAGCUAAGGAUCGUCGCCUAGGUGAGCCGUUACCCCCACUACUAGCUAAUCCAAUCUGGGGCACAUCUGAUGGGCAAGAGGGCCGGAAGGUUCCCCCC